rnacentral:rRNA from 4 species
CAUUGACCUCAGAUCAGGCAAGGCUACCCGCUGAAUUUAAGCAUAUCAAUAAGCGGAGG